rnacentral:rRNA from 1 species
AUGCAAGUCGAACGGUAACAUUUCUCGCUUGCUAGAAGAUGACGAGUGGCGGACGGGUGAGUAAUGCUUGGGAACUUGCCUUUGCGAGGGGGAUAACAGUUGGAAACGACUGCUAAUACCGCAUAAUGUCUUCGGACCAAACGGGGCUUAGGCUCCGGCGCAAAGAGAGGCCCAAGUGAGAUUAGCUAGUUGGUAAGGUAACGGCUUACCAAGGCGACGAUCUCUAGCUGUUCUGAGAGGAAGAUCAGCCACACUGGGACUGAGACACGGCCCAGACUCCUACGGGAGGCAGCAGUGGGGAAUAUUGCACAAUGGGGGAAACCCUGAUGCAGCCAUGCCGCGUGUGUGAAGAAGGCCUUCGGGUUGUAAAGCACUUUCAGUUGUGAGGAAAAGUUAGUAGUUAAUACCUGCUAGCCGUGACGUUAACAACAGAAGAAGCACCGGCUAACUCCGUGCCAGCAGCCGCGGUAAUACGGAGGGUGCGAGCGUUAAUCGGAAUUACUGGGCGUAAAGCGCACGCAGGCGGUUUGUUAAGCUAGAUGUGAAAGCCCCGGGCUCAACCUGGGAUGGUCAUUUAGAACUGGCAGACUAGAGUCUUGGAGAGGGGAGUGGAAUUCCAGGUGUAGCGGUGAAAUGCGUAGAUAUCUGGAGGAACAUCAGUGGCGA